GGUCUGAGAGGACGAUCAGCCACACUGGAACUGAGACACGGUCCAGACUCCUAUGGGAGGCAGCAGUGGGGAAUUUUGGACAAUGGGCGCAAGCCUGAUCCAGCCAUGCCGCGUGAGUGAAGAAGGCCUUCGGGUUGUAAAGCUCUUUCGGCGGGGACGAAACGGUUCGUGCUAAUACCACGGACUAAUGACGGUACCCGCAUAAGAAGCACCGGCUAACUACGUGCCAGCAGCCGCGGUAAUACGUAGGGUGCAGGCGUUAAUCGGAAUUACUGGGCGUAAAGCGUGCGCAGGCGGUUUGUUAAGACAGGUGUGAAAUCCCCGGGCUUAACCUGGGAAUUGCGCUUGUAACUGGCAGACUUGAGUGUGGCAGAGGGGGGUGGAAUUCCAAGUGUAGCAGUGAAAUGCGUAGAUAUUUGGAGGAACACCGAUGGCGAAGGCAGCCCCCUGGGCUAACACUGACGCUCAUGCACGAAAGCGUGGGGAGCAAACAGGAUUAGAUACCCUGGUAGUCCACGCCCUAAACUAUGUCAACUGGUUGUCGGGGAAGCAAUUCCUUGGUAACGAAGCUAACGCGUGAAGUUGACCACCCGGGGAGUACGGCCGCAAGGUUAAAACUCAAAGGAAUUGGCGGGGACCCGCACAAGCGGUGGAUUAUGUGGAUUAAUUCGAUGCAACGCGAAAAACCUUACCUACCCUUGACAUGUACGGAAGCCUCCAGAGAGGGGGGUGUGCCCGAAAGGGAACCGUAACACAGGUGCUGCAUGGCUGUCGUCAGCUCGUGUCGUGAGAUGUUGGGUUAAGUCCCGCAACGAGCGCAACCCUUGCCAUUAGUUGCUACACUUAGUUGGGCACUCUAAUGGGACUGCCGGUGACAAACCGGAGGAAGGUGGGGAUGACGUCAAGUCCUCAUGGCCCUUAUGGGUAGGGCUUCACACGUAAUACAAUGGCCGGUACAGAGGGUUGCCAACCCGCGAGGGGGAGCCAAUCCCAGAAAGCCGGUCGUAGUCCGGAUUGUUCUCUGCAACUCGAGAGCAUGAAGUUGGAAUCGCUAGUAAUCGCGGAUCAGCACGCCGCGGUGAAUACGUUCCCGGGUCUUGUACACACCGCCCGUCACACAAUGGGAGUGGGUUCCACCAGAAGUAGCUAGCCCAACCGCAAGGAGGGCGGUUACCACGGUGAGAUUCAUGACUGGGGUGAAGUCGUAACAAGGUA
rnacentral:rRNA from 1 species